GGUUUACGCUUUUUCUGCCUCUAACACAGACUGAAAAACUGAAACCACUCAGACCAAUGCUGUGAUUGCACCCUGACCUCUCAGCCAUUGUAGAAGCCCCGCCUCCUCCUCAGACAGACUUCAAUCACAGAUCUGUUGUUUCUCUAACUUUAAUUCUUGGUCAAAAUCAACAUGAAAAAAUACAAACAAGUGAAAACUAAGGUGUUAUCCGGACAAUAGAGACGGUAAAUCUUCCUUCUUCUAAUUUUUUCAUCCUUUUAACUCACUUUAAAACAAGUUUGAGAUAAUUUUUAUCAUUAAGGGUAUUUUUUAUUUAUCAGUCAAGGCAUCGAUUCCAGUUUUAAUGACAUAACCUUGAGUAGGAUUUGAACAGAGAAGGAUCAGGACCACCAAGGAGAAGCUGACCAAACUGUCAAGCUUCGGGCUUUCUAUAAUGGCUGAUAUUCGGAGGUGCACUAAAUUCGUGAAUCUGCUGCACGUCAGUUUUAAUUUGCAGAUACAGCAAACAAACCUGCGGAUCCUGGAGCGCCGUCUGAUCGAACUGAAUGA